rnacentral:rRNA from 1 species
CCUACGGGUGGCUGCAGUGGGGAAUAUUGGACAAUGGGGGGAACCCUGAUCCAGCCAUGCCGCAUGUGUGAAGAAGGCCCUCGGGUUGUAAAGCACUUUCAGUGAGGAAGAACGCCUGGUGGUUAAUACCCAUCAGGAAAGACAUCACUCACAGAAGAAGCACCGGCUAACUCCGUGCCAGCAGCCGCGGUAAUACGGAGGGUGCGAGCGUUAAUCGGAAUUACUGGGCGUAAAGCGCGCGUAGGUGGCUUGAUAAGCCGGUUGUGAAAGCCCCGGGCUCAACCUGGGAACGGCAUCCGGAACUGUCAAGCUAGAGUGCAGGAGAGGAAGGUAGAAUUCCCGGUGUAGCGGUGAAAUGCGUAGAGAUCGGGAGGAAUACCAGUGGCGAAGGCGGCCUUCUGGACUGACACUGACACUGAGGUGCGAAAGCGUGGGUAGCAAACAGGAUUAGAUACCCGAGUAGUC